GGCUGGAUCUGGACGCCGCAUACGCACAGGCCAAAUCCCACAGAUAAAAAACAUGGGCGGGAGAUUCCCGCCCAUGUUU
rnacentral:sRNA from 1 species